AAGCAACGCGCAGAACCUUACCAGCCCUUGACAUCCCGAUCGCGGAAGGUGGAGACACCCUCCUUCAGUUAGGCUGGAUCGGAGACAGGUGCUGCAUGGCUGUCGUCAGCUCGUGUCGUGAGAUGUUGGGUUAAGUCCCGCAACGAGCGCAACCCUCGCCCUUAGUUGCCAGCAUUUAGUUGGGCACUCUAGGGGGACUGCCGGUGAUAAGCCGAGAGGAAGGUGGGGAUGACGUCAAGUCCUCAUGGCCCUUACGGGCUGGGCUACACACGUGCUACAAUGGUGGUGACAGUGGGCAGCGAGACCGCGAGGUCGAGCUAAUCUCCAAAAGCCAUCUCAGUUCGGAUUGCACUCUGCAACUCGAGUGCAUGAAGUUGGAAUCGCUAGUAAUCGUGGAUCAGCAUGCCACGGUGAAUACGUUCCCGGGCCUUGUACACACCGCCCGUCACACCAUGGGAGUUGGUUUUACCCGAAGGUGCUGUGCU
rnacentral:rRNA from 1 species